GACGAACGCUGUCGGCGUGCUUAACACAUGCAAGUCGAACGGAAAGGCCCUGCUUUUGUGGGGUGCUCGAGUGGCGAACGAGUGAGUAACACGUGAGUAACCUGCCCUUGACUUUGGGAUAACUUCAGGAAACUGGGGCUAAUACCGGAUAGGAGCUCCUGCUGCAUGGUGGGGGUUGGAAAGUUUCGGCGGUUGGGGAUGGACUCGCGGCUUAUCAGCUUGUUGGUGGGGUAGUGGCUUACCAAGGCUUUGACGGGUAGCCGGCCUGAGAGGGUGACCGGCCACAUUGGGACUGAGAUACGGCCCAGACUCCUACGGGAGGCAGCAGUGGGGAAUAUUGCACAAUGGGCGGAAGCCUGAUGCAGCAACGCCGCGUGCGGGAUGACGGCCUUCGGGUUGUAAACCGCUUUCGCCUGUGACGAAGCGUGAGUGACGGUAAUGGGUAAAGAAGCACCGGCUAACUACGUGCCAGCAGCCGCGGUGAUACGUAGGGUGCGAGCGUUGUCCGGAUUUAUUGGGCGUAAAGGGCUCGUAGGUGGUUGAUCGCGUCGGAAGUGUAAUCUUGGGGCUUAACCCUGAGCGUGCCUUCGAUACGGGUUGACUUGAGGAAGGUAGGGGAGAAUGGAAUUCCUGGUGGAGCGGUGGAAUGCGCAGAUAUCAGGAGGAACACCAGUGGCGAAGGCGGUUCUCUGGGCCUUUCCUGACGCUGAGGAGCGAAAGCGUGGGGAGCGAACAGGCUUAGAUACCCUGGUAGUCCACGCUGUAAACGGUGGGUACUAGGUGUGGGGUCCAUUCCACGGGUUCCGUGCCGUAGCGAACGCUUUAAGUACCCCGCCUGGGGAGUACGGCCGCAAGGCUAAAACUCAAAGGAAUUGACGGGGCCCCGCACAAGCGGCGGAGCAUGCGGAUUAAUUCGAUGCAACGCGUAGAACCUUACCUGGGUUUGACAUGGAUCGGGAGUGCUCAGAGAUGGGUGUGCCUCUUUUGGGGUCGGUUCACAGGUGGUGCAUGGCUGUCGUCAGCUCGUGUCGUGAGAUGUUGGGUUAAGUCCCGCAACGAGCGCAACCCUUGUUCACUGUUGCCAGCACGUUAUGGUGGGGACUCAGUGGAGACCGCCGGGGUCAACUCGGAGGAAGGUGGGGAUGACGUCAAGUCAUCAUGCCCCUUAUGUCCAGGGCUUCACGCAUGCUACAAUGGCUGGUACAGAGAGUGGCGAGCCUGUGAGGGUGAGCGAAUCUCGGAAAGCCGGUCUCAGUUCGGAUUGGGGUCUGCAACUCGACCUCAUGAAGUCGGAGUCGCUAGUAAUCGCAGAUCAGCAACGCUGCGGUGAAUACGUUCCCGGGGCU
rnacentral:rRNA from 1 species